rnacentral:rRNA from 1 species
ACGGGUGAGUAAUACGUGAGUAACCUGCCCUUGACUCUGGGAUAAGCCUGGGAAACUGGGUCUAAUACUGGAUACUACCUCUUGCCGCAUGGUGGGUGGUGGAAAGGGUUUUACUGGUUUUGGAUGGGCUCACGGCCUAUCAGCUUGUUGGUGGGGUAAUGGCUCACCAAGGCGACGACGGGUAGCCGGCCUGAGAGGGUGACCGGCCACACUGGGACUGAGACACGGCCCAGACUCCUACGGGAGGCAGCAGUGGGGAAUAUUGCACAAUGGGCGGAAGCCUGAUGCAGCGACGCCGCGUGAGGGAUGACGGCCUUCGGGUUGUAAACCUCUUUCAGUAGGGAAGAAGCGAGAGUGACGGUACCUGCAGAAGAAGCGCCGGCUAACUACGUGCCAGCAGCCGCGGUAAUACGUAGGGCGCAAGCGUUGUCCGGAAUUAUUGGGCGUAAAGAGCUCGUAGGCGGUUUGUCCGCGUCUGCUGUGAAAGCCCGGGGCUCAACCCCGGGUCUGCAGUGGGUACGGGCAGACUAGAGUGCAGUAGGGGAGACUGGAAUUCCUGGUGUAGCGGUGAAAUGCGCAGAUAUCAGGAGGAACACCGAUGGCGAAGGCAGGUCUCUGGGCUGUUACUGACGCUGAGGAGCGAAAGCAUGGGGAGCGAACAGGAUUAGAUACCCUGGUAGUCCAUGCCGUAAACGUUGGGCACUAGGUGUGGGGGACAUUCCACGUUUUCCGCGCCGUAGCUAACGCAUUAAGUGCCCCGCCUGGGGAGUACGGCCGCAAGGCUAAAACUCAAAGGAAUUGACGGGGGCCCGCACAAGCGGCGGAGCAUGCGGAUUAAUUUCGAUGCAACGCGAAGAACCUUACCAAGGGCUUGACAUUCACCGGACCGCCCCAGAGAUGGGGUUUCCCUUCGGGGCUGGUGGACAGGUGGUGCAUGGUUGUCGUCAGCUCGUGUCGUGAGAUGUUGGGUUAAGUCCCGCAACGAGCGCAACCCUCGUUCUAUGUUGCCAGCACGUGAUGGUGGGGACUCAUAGGAGACUGCCGGGGUCAACUCGGAGGAAGGUGGGGAUGACGUCAAAUCAUCAUGCCCCUUAUGUCUUGGGCUUCACGCAUGCUACAAUGGCCGGUACAAAGGGUUGCGAUACUGUGAGGUGGAGCUAAUCCCAAAAAGCCGGUCUCAGUUCGGAUUGAGGUCUGCAACUCGACCUCAUGAAGUCGGAGUCGCUAGUAAUCGCAG